rnacentral:lncRNA from 1 species
GCCUACGGCUCGGAAAGCCCGUGGGACAUUUCUGGUCGGAGGACACGACGUGCAUGUCGUGGCUCGACGAACAGCCUAAGAAUUCAGUCAUCUACGUGGCCUUUGGGAGCUUGACCAUCUUCGACCAGAACCAGUUCCGAGAGCUCGCGCUCGGGCUGGAGACGUCGGGCAGGCCGUUCUUAUGGGUCGUGAGGCCCGACCUCACCGAAAAGACAAGCGAUGCGUACCCGAGCGGCUUUAAAGAUCGUCUCGGAGGAAGAGGAAGGAUAGUGAGUUGGUCUCCUCAGCAAGAGGUAUUGGCUCACCCUUCCCUUGCAUGUUUCAUUUCCCACUGUGGAUGGAAUUCAACAAUGGAGGGGGUCAGGAAUGGGGUGCCUUUCCUAUGUUGGCCAUACUUCGCGGACCAGUUCGCCAACCAAACCUACAUUUGUGAUGUUUGGAGGGUUGGGCUGAAGAUGGUGCCCGGCGAGAGUGGGAUCAUAACAAGUGCGCAUAUCAGUUCGAGGCUAGAGGAGUUGCUUGGGGACGAUGGGAUAAUGGCGAGGGCGCGAACUUUGAAGGAGAUGGCUAAUAGGAGCAUGGAGAAAGAGGGGUCUUCGUUCAAGAACUUGAAUACCUUUGUCGAAGCUAUGAAAAGUGAAAAUGCGCAUAUAAAAGAUGAGGAAUGAAGGUAUGCAUGUUUGUGCCAAGCAAAAGGUUGAACAAAGUAACACUGCAAUUAUUCGGAUGUGAGACGUAAUAGAAUGUCUAGGUUCACCGGCUGUUUCUAGAGCAAGUGGCAAACGAUUUGGUGGUUGAUAUCGCAGGUCCCAAGUUUGAAUUCUAAUUAAUUCACAUCUAUAGUUAAGUUUAUUUCUAAAUUAAAUAAACGAAGCGAGUAACGUGCUACCUAUCUCUCAAAAAAAAGAAAAAAGAAAAAAGAAUGACUAGGUUCUUUUGGCAGUUGGAGUUUGUUUCUUUGCAGAUAUGAAAUUUUUUACAUUAGCAUUUUGCUAAUAUUUUCUCAAAAGAGGGGAAAACAGGCAUAAGCACAUUUUGAUUAUUGAUUAUUGAUUUUUGAUUUUUUUGAUGGUAGUACGAAGUAUUUCAACUAAGGCCCCGUUUGGAUACUUCUAAAACCAUAGCAUAGUUAAACUAUGCUACGCCGGUAAAAAAAUAAUUCUAUGAAGCGUUUGGAAGAAAAAAAAAUUAUGUAAUUUUUGGAGUAUAGUUAUACUAUACUCCAAAAAAUGGAGUAAACUUACAAUCCACUUUAACCAAAGGAAAAAAAUUCCACCAUUUUGGGCUUCCAAAGAUUAUCAAUUUCUAAAUUUUAAAUUUCAAUAUAAAAUUUUAAAUUUUAAAAUUUAAUUUUAAUUUUGAUUUUAAAUUUCAAAUUUUAAAAAAUUCAAAUAUCAAAUUUCAAAUAUCAAAUAUCAAAUUUCAACUUUCAACUUUCUAAUUUUCAAAUUUCAAAUUUCAAAUUUCAAACUUCAAAUUUCAAAUUUCAAAAGUUAAAUUUUCAAUUUCAAAAUUUCAAAUUUCAGAAUAUUAGAAACUUUCAAAUUUCAAAAUUUCAAAAAUCAAAUUUCAACUUUACAAAUUUCAAGAAUUUCAAAAGUUCAAAUUUCAAAUUCAAAUAUUCAAAGUUCAAAUUUCAAAUAAUUUCAAUUUCAAAUCUUUAAAUUAAUUUUAAUUUUAAUUUUCAAUUUCAAAAUUUAAAUUUAAACUUAAAUUUUAAAAUUUUAAAUUUAUAAAUAUGUUAAAUUAGUAAAUUAUUAAAUUUAAAAUUUAAAAUUUAAUAUAAUUUUUAAUUUAAAAUUAAAGUAAUGGAUACUUUAAAUUAAAUUUAAAGUUCAAAUUUCAAAUUUUAAAUUUCACAAUACCAAAUUUCAAAUUUCAAUAUUAAAAACAUAAAAUCAUAAUUUAAUUUUUUAAUUUUAAAUUUUAAUUUUAUAUUUUGAAUUUUGAAUUUUAAUUUUUAAAUUUUUAUUUUUAAAUUUUGAAUUUUGAAUUUUGAAUUUUAAAAUUUUAGAAAUUUAAUUGUUAUAAAUACUGUGGAAUUGUAUAAUCUGUAUCCAAACAGGUUAAAAAUGAAGCUGUGGAAUUUUUUUGUAAUUACAGAAUUCCGUAUUUUAUUUAGACCAAAAUCAUAAAAUUAAAAUUUUAUGGAGUUUUUUAGCUAUGCAUCAAAAUAGGGCCUAAAUCCCAAUCCUGUAGGCACAGUGUAAGUGCUCAUCAUUGAGCUACGUGGCGUUUUAUUGAUGGCCCAUUUAUGACAUGACUUUUUUUUUUUUUUGUCCAAAAGAGACAAAAGGCGCAGGGCUGGCGAGAAAGUUUAUUGUGUAAUAUUUACAUCAUAUUAUUUAUUUUUAAUCAAUUAUUUUUUAAAAAGUAUAAUAAAAAUAUUUUUUGAAAAAAUUAUGAUGGGAUCGGUGAAUCUUAGAAGAGCUUUUUAAUUGGUUGGAGUACCACAUUAGCAAUAUAACUGUUGCAUUUUAGAAUUUUUCUAUGAUUAUCGCAACCAAAUGAUUAUUAAUCACAUAAUUCUCAUCCAUUCAUCACGAAAUUUUUUUUAUAAAAAUAAUAAAAUACUUUAUAAUAUGAAUAUCUUCUAUAGAAAUUUUUGAGUGUUCGUAACCUGUCAUUUAUGUUAAAAAUUAGCAAAAAUUCGAGUCAAAUCAAAACCAGGUUAGAUAACUUUUAUAAUUAGCGAUAAUAAAUAUUUACUCAAUUCGAAUCAAACCUAGAUUUGAAUUUCGAACAACACAUUGUAUCCGGAUUUGGAUUCGAAUCAAACCCAGAUUUGAAUUUCGAACAACACAUUAUAUCCGGAUUUGGAUUCGAAUCAAACCCAGAUAUGAAUUUCAAACAAACACAUUAUAUCCGGAUUUGGAUUCGAAUCAAACCUAGAUCUGAUUUGGAACAGCACAUUAUAUCCAGAUUUGAAUCCAACUAUAAGCCAAAAAAGCUUCCCUCAAAAAAAAAAAAACUUUUUAAGUCAAAUUUUUUUUAAAAAAGGUAUUAAAUAAGAAUGUAAAUCCAAAAUUCGUGUAUUCAAAAUAAAAAUAUUAUAAUCAUAGGGAAAUAGAUCAUUGAUUCCAUUUAUUUGAAUUUGAGCUUUUAAUAUCUGCGUCCGAUCCAGAUUUAUAGUCCGAACAACAUAAUUUGUUCGGAUCCAAUAUUCUUAACAAAACGUAUUCGGAUCUGAUUAUUUUUCCGGUUGGACUGGGACGGUCAACCAGGACGGAUCGCAUUUUGCCACACCUAAUACCCUCUUUCGCAAACAUAAUAUAAGGGGUUCUUUUUGCAAAAAGACCUCUGAAAAAGUUUAUUUUUAAAAAUAAUUUCAGCAAAUUUAUAUUUACAAAAAUGACUCUGUUCCUGCCAUACAAGUGCCACGUCAGCACCACGCAGGCGGGACUGAAGGCGGUAGUUAAGUUAAACACGGCGAACCAUUCACCGUGUCUAAACACGGUGAACGGUUCACCGUGUUUAGAAAUAGUACGUAUUUUUUGCAAUAUAAAUAUUAAAAAGUGGAAUAGGGAGUAGGGAUGUCAAUGGAUAUGGAUAUCCAAAAUAUUAUUCGAACUCAAACCCGAAUAAAUUAUAUAUAUACAUAAUUUAUUUUUAUUUAUUUAUAUACAAUAUAUAAAAUAUUUAAUAAUUUUUAUUCCUUAAAUCUUCAUCUAACGGUAUAGAUUUUUAAAACCAGCUGGGUUCAGGUUCGGGUUUUGAGUUUUUGGUCGGAUAUGUAUAUGGGUAUGAAUUUUUAAAAUCCGUCAGGUUUGAAUUUUAAUUUGAUUUUCGGGUUCGGGUUCGGAUUUUUGAAAAAGAGAAAAAAAGAAAUACCAACACGGUGAAUGGUUCACCGUAUUCAACUUAACACACUGGCCCCGACCCUGCCCGUGUGGCGCUGAUGUGGCGCCUGCGUGGCAGACCCAGGGCUAUUUUUGCAAAUUAAAUUUUGGUAGGGCUAUUUUUAAAAUAAAAAUUUGCUAGGGGGCUAAAUGCAAAAAACCCCCUAAUAUAAGACUUAUGUAGGGCCGGCCCGCGCUUCGCGACAAUAGAUAAUUAAUAUUUCAGCUUGAUCAUAUCCAUCCAUUAAAUCAUACUAUGUAAUCAAUCACCAACUUUAACCUUAGGGACAGAUUUAACAGUCGAAAACUUAUGAGCACAAAAGAACCUACACUCAUAAAAGUAUAGUAACCGGACUCUAUAUAGGCUCUUUUGUACUCUUAAGUUUUUAGCUGUUAAAUCUACCCCUUUUGAUCAUUUCCAUUCGUUAAAUCAUACUGUUCAACGAAUUACCCACUCAACCCUAGGGAAGCACUAUCAUUCUAACCGUAUAUUGCUUCAUCCAAUUGUCGAGAACUUAUAAGUACAAAAAGAUCUAGAAUAUAAUAGCCCUAUCCCUAUAUAUAUAUAUAUUAAAAUUUUAAGAACAAAAAAAUUAUAUCGAAAGAAAAUAGUCUUAUGUACAUUAUAAAAAUUAUUUCUUUUCAAUUAAUAUUCUUUUUACUUUCAAUAUUUAUAGGGGUUAAAUUAUUUUAAUAAUUUUAUUUAAAAAUUUAAUCAAAUUUUAUAGUUUUGACAGCUAUUCUAACAAUAAUUUUUUUAACUAAAAAGUUGAAGUUGAAUGACAUAUUCUAAAUUGAAGAAUAGGUGAGUUAUCUUGUUAAAAUUUAUUAGAGAAGAAGAAACGAUUAUAUUCUUCUCGUGCAUAUUGAUACUCCAUACAAUGCAAUUUAUAUUAAAUGACUAAUAUUCUAAUAUCCAAAAAAAAUUAAAUAUAACUUAUUUACAAAUUAAAUCAAUUUAAAUUAUGUUUAAUAAAUUAAUUUUAAAAUCUUUAAAAGGUGUUGAGUAUAUGGCAUAUGCACAUAAAUACAUCUGUUACAGAAAAUACUUAGUUUGGUACACAUAUAAUUCCAAAAGAAAGGCGAUGAGAAAUUUUUGCUUGCACCUGUUGCAUUCUAAUUUUUCGUACAUUAUGCAGAAUAUUAUAUGAUUAAUAAAAUAUUUAAUAAUUAAUACUAUAAAAUAAAAUAUAUAUAUAUAGAGUCCGGCUACGGUGCUUGUAAAAGUAUCAAACAGUUGGUGCUUGUAAAUUUUUUACCGUUAGAUCUCUGCCUUUGAUCAUUUUUAUCCGUUAGAUUAUACUAUUCAACCAACCACCCAUUCAACCCUAGAGAGCCCACAUCAUCGUAACCGCACAUCCUUUAAUCCAAGGGUCGAAAACUUACAAGCACCAAUGACUUUGUAUUUUUAAAAGUAUAGGAGCUCAAUUCUAUAUAUAUAUAUAUAUAUAUAUAUAUAUAUAUAUAUAUAUAUAUAUAUAUAAAAUAUUUAAAUAAUACUUUAUUAUACUGCUAAAAAUUUAUCUUUGAUGAAUAUUUUAUAGUUAGUUUAAGAUGCAACGGCAUAUCGAAAACUUUAUCAAGCAUGUGACAAUGCUCCGUUGGCUAGUACUUUAAUGGGCACUGCUUCAAUGGUGGCUUGAUGUGAUCCAACCACAAAAUAACAUUAUUUAAUAUAAAAUAUAGAUAUAGAAGAUAUAGAUAUAGAUAUUAUUAUUAUGCGUGGAAAUGACGCAAACUAUCUCGACCUCAAAUUUUUUUUUUUUUAAUAAUAAGAUUGAUCUCUUCAUACAUGGACCUAAUUGCUCGGAUUUUAGCUCAUUUACCCUCCGCAAGGUUUUACAAUAUCAAAGCGCACAAAGGAGAAAAACAAUAAAACAAAAAUGUUCAUCGAACAAAUCAUUUCAUUAAGGACAUGGAAAUUUCUUUUUCAAAGUCAAAUAGAAAUAAACUUCUGAAUCACAAAAGUAGCUGUAGACAGGCUCAAUUUAAAUAACACUUGUAUAAAAAUUGCAAGUAGGCAAAACAAAUCGACAGCUCAUUGGCAUCUGCUACCUUUUAACUACUAUAAAAACCAGCAGCCAUUGGCUUUUUCGAGCAUAUACUCCACCACUCAUUUUCACUGAGAUUUGCGUAGUAGCUAGCUAUGGGCAUUCCUCAUGCUCUCAUCCUACCAUUCCCGGCACAAGGCCAUGUCAUCCCCCUCAUGGAACUCUCCCACUGCUUAGCCGACCAAGGCGUCGAGAUCACCUUUGUCAACACCGAGUUCGACCACGGCCGAAUCGUGGCCGCCCUGGGGAAACAUGAGCUCGAAUCGGACCGAGUUCGUCAUGUUUCGGUCCCCGACGGGUUGGCCCCGGACGAAGACCGCAACAACCUGGGGAGGCUGGUUGAGGGUCUGCACAAGAGCAUGCCAGCAAGCCUGGAAGAAGUGAUAAGAAAGAACAACGAGAACUGUGGUGGUAAUAAGAUUACCUGCGUGAUAGUUGAUCAUAACAUGGCUUGGGCUCUUGAGAUUGCUGAGAAGCUCGGUGUCUGUUGCGUCGUGUUCUGGCCGAUGUGCGCAGCGAUUUUGGCCUUGAUAAUGAGCACUCCGAAGUUGAUAGAUGACGGUAUCAUCGAUGAAGAAGGUAAGACAAUGAAAGAUAUUGCAUUCUUUCCAAUUUUGUUAGUUUAACUUAAUUGUUAAUAACACUUAAUAGGAUCCACCCUAGCAAUGCUACAAAAAAAAAAAAAUUGCCUUUUUGAACAUGAACAUACGAAUAUAUUUCAUAAUCAGUCAUCAUUUGAGAGAUAAUAAAGGAGAAAAAGAAUUGGGGACAAGAUCAUAGAAUAAGCUGUUUAGUCGAUGUUUCAUUUGCAAAUACACUGAUAGACAUCAGGUACUACACUUCAAAAAGGAAAUGACAAGUGAAUUCUUCAAAUUUAGAUCAUCUGUAUCUAAUAUAGACAAUAUCUUAUUUGCCCCAUAAAACUUUGUAUAUAUUUGAUUUACCCUUGUUUUCAAAUUUGCCUCUGGAUAUUGUCUUACUUGCCCUUGAAACAGUGUCAGUUUCUUCCCUGAGGGUUAGAUUUGAAAACUUAGGUAUCUUUGAAAGAUGGAUAUAUUUUAGGGAUAUAUAAAAGAAAUUACCCCUAUCUAAUAAAUAUUCUGGCUAGAAAUACGACAUUAUGUUUCGAAAAGGACAUCGUUUGUUCUGAUAUCAACAUUUCAACAUCCUCUCAAUUCAGACCCUUCUCCCUAUAUUUUCCACUAAAAUGUACUUGGCUAGCAAAUGAUUAAUCAUGACUUCUUCUAGGGUUUCCAAAGAGCCAAUCGACAUUUCAACUGAGCGACGGCAUGCCCCUGAUGGAAACAGCUCGUCUCCCGUGGAACGUCAACGCCGGUGACGAAGCACAGAAACUUAUCUUCCACUAUAUGAAUGCCAACUGUCGAGCAACCAAGAAAGCUGAGUUCAUACUCUGCAACUCAUUUCAAGAACUCGAGUCACCGACGUUCAACUACGCUCCUUACGUUCUCCCUAUUGGCCCGUUACUCACGGGCCUACAGCUCGGAAAGCCCGUGGGACAUUUCUGGUCGGAGGACACAACGUGCAUGUCGUGGCUCGACGAACAGCCUAAGAAUUCGGUCAUCUACGUGGCCUUUGGGAGCUUGACCAUCUUCGACCAGAACCAGUUCCGAGAGCUCGCGCUCGGGCUGGAGACGUCGGGCAGGCCGUUCUUAUGGGUCGUGAGGCCCGACCUCACCGAAAAGACAAGCGAUGCGUACCCGAGCGGCUUUAAAGAUCGUCUCGGAGGAAGAGGAAGGAUAGUGAGUUGGUCUCCUCAGCAAGAGGUAUUGGCUCACCCUUCCCUUGCAUGUUUCAUUUCCCACUGUGGAUGGAAUUCAACAAUGGAGGGGGUCAGGAAUGGGGUGCCCUUCCUAUGUUGGCCAUAUUUCGGGG